rnacentral:lncRNA from 1 species
UCUUUCACUGCGAGAUCUGUGUACUCUGCUUCUUAUACAGUGGACAUUGCCGUGUGACAAAAAUCUGAGAAUUAGAGAGAGUUAUUGUUUGAUGGUAUUUGUUGUGAUCUUUUGGUUUCGAAAUUUCCUUCUGUGAGAUCAGGCUGGAGCUGGUGCAGAGUGCAGACUAUAGCAUCCAGAUUGGAGGAGGACUGGGUUUGCUUGUGAGAUGAUUACGUACGAGGAUGAUGAUGUUGUACGGUGGGGUUUGCAGCUGUUUGAGAGCGAUCCCUACUCUA